rnacentral:tRNA from 1 species
GCACCCAUGAUGUAGCGGCAGCCUCUCUGCUUCCCACGCAGGGUGGGCGGGUUCGACUCCCGCUGGGUGCU